rnacentral:tRNA from 1 species
UUGCGCGUAGCUCAGAUGGUUAGAGCCCGGUCCUGAUACGGCCGAUGUCGCGGGUUCGAGUCCCGUCGCGCAGACCA